rnacentral:rRNA from 1 species
AUUGAACGCUGGCGGCAGGCCUAACACAUGCAAGUCGAGCGGAUGAAGGGAGCUUGCUCCUGGAUUCAGCGGCGGACGGGUGAGUAAUGCCUAGGAAUCUGCCUGGUAGUGGGGGAUAACGUCCGGAAACGGGCGCUAAUACCGCAUACGUCCUGAGGGAGAAAGUGGGGGAUCUUCGGACCUCACGCUAUCAGAUGAGCCUAGGUCGGAUUAGCUAGUUGGUGGGGUAAAGGCCUACCAAGGCGACGGUCCGUAACUGGUCUGAGAGGAUGAUCAGUCACAGUGGAACGGAGACACGGUCCAAACCCCUACGGGGGGCAGCGGUGGGAAAUUUUGAAAAAGGGGGGAAACCCUGACCCAGCCAGGCGGGGUGUGGAAAGAAGGUCUUCGGUUUGAAAAGCACUUUAAGUGGGGAGGAAGGGAAGUAAGUUAAUACCUUGUUGUUUUGACGUUCCCAAAAGAAAAAGCCCCGGUUACUUUCGU